UGAAGCGGGAAAAGCUCAAAUUUAAAAUCUGGUAGUCUUUGACUAUCCGAGUUGUAAUCUAGAGAAGUGUUAUCAGUACUGGACCGUGUACAAGUCUCCUGGAAUGGAGCGUCAUAGAGGGUGAGAAUCCCGUCUUUGACACGGACCUACCAGUGCAAUUGUGAUGCGCUCUCAAAGAGUCGAGUUGUUUGGGAAUGCAGCUCAAAAUGGGUGGUAAAUUCCAUCUAAAGCUAAAUAUUGGCGAGAGACCGAUAGCGAACAAGUACCGUGAGGGAAAGAUGAAAAGAACUUUGGAAAGAGAGUUAAACAGUACGUGAAAUUGUUGAAAGGGAAACGCUUGAAGUCAGUCACGUCAGUCAGGGAUCAACCUUACUUAUUUAUUUUGUUGGGAGUAUUUUCUGGUUGACGGGUCAGCAUCAAUUUUGACCGUUGGAAAAAGGUUAAGGGAAUGUGGCAUCUUAGGAUGUGUUUAUAGCCCUUAGUCGUAUACAAUGAUUGGGAUUGAGGAAUUCAGCACACCAUUUUUUGUAAUGGUCGGGUUUAAAUAAAUCACGUUUGUGCUUAGGAUGCUGGCAUAAUGGCUUUAAUCGACCCGUCUUGAAACACGGACCAAGGAGUCUAACAUGCCUGCAAGUGUUUGGGUGAUAAAACUCGAGCGCGUAAUGAAAGUGAAAGUUGAGAUCCUUGUCAUGGGGAGCAUCAACACCCAGACCAGAACUUUUGGGACGGAUCUGCGGUAGAGCAUGUAUGUUGGGACCCGAAAGAUGGUGAACUAUGCCUGAAUAGGGUGAAGCCAGAGGAAACUCU
rnacentral:rRNA from 1 species